GAUGAACGCUGGCGGCGUGCCUAACACAUGCAAGUCGAACGGAAUUUACAUGAAGCCUAGCGAUUGUAAAUUUAGUGGCGGACGGGUGAGUAACGCGUGGGUAACCUGCCUUUCAGAGGGGGACAACAGUUGGAAACGACUGCUAAUACCGCAUGACGCAUUUUGAUCGCAUGGUCGAAAUGCCAAAGAUUUAUCGCUGAAAGAUGGCCUCGCGUCUGAUUAGCUAGUUGGCGGGGUAACGGCCCACCAAGGCGACGAUCAGUAGCCGGACUGAGAGGUUGACCGGCCACAUUGGGACUGAGAUACGGCCCAGACUCCUACGGGAGGCAGCAGUGGGGAAUAUUGGGCAAUGGGCGCAAGCCUGACCCAGCAACGCCGCGUGAAGGAAGAAGGCUUUCGGGUUGUAAACUUCUUUUAAGUGGGAAGAGUAGAAGACGGUACCACUUGAAUAAGCCACGGCUAACUACGUG
rnacentral:rRNA from 1 species